UACGGAGGAUCCAAGCGUUAUCCGGAUUUAUUGGGUUUAAAGGGUGCGUAGGUGGCUUUUUUAAGUCAGGGGUGAAAGACGGUAGCUUAACUAUCGCAGUGCCUUUGAUACUGAAGAGCUUGAAUAAACUAGAGGAGUGAAGUGAUGCAAGUAGCGGUGAAAUGCAUAGAUAUGUCACAGAACACCAAUUGCGAAGGCAGCUUACUAUGGUUUUAUUGACACUGAGGCACGAAAGCGUGGGGGAUCAAACAGG
rnacentral:rRNA from 1 species